AGCAAAACAGCUUUGUGCACUACAUUGACAGAAAAUGAAAGGAUGAGUGGAGAAUGCUAGUCUUUCUGUUUGUUAAUGGCAAAGACAAUGAGUGAAAGAGAUCAAGAGAAGAUAUUUUGGAGUGACAGACUCAGUGCCUCUUGUUCCUGGUACUUUAUUUCUGGAAAUCCUGUUUCCGGUGUUAACAGAAAAUACUUUGGUAAGCACCACUCUGAGAGAACCUCACAGAAACCUGCAUUCUGCAUCCACACAGAUAUGUGGCACUCCACAGCUACCCUGACUACACUCAAGACAUACAAGGGAAGAUAGUACCUUCCUCAGGCUACAGAAUUUGGGGUUGGCUCAGGAACAUUGGAAAGCACUGCACUUCAGCCAGGACAGGGAAAUCACUAUUUUAAGUUGUUUGAAGAUGUAAGUUCUCUUGUAUGACAGCCAAGAAAGAUUGUAAAUUAAAUAAUGCAUUGUGGAGAAGGUUAUUUGGCAAGAAAACAUGAAGUACAAAUUUACUCUGCUCAUCCUUCCCAUUGACUGCUGGAUGGGAUUCCUAUUUGAAAAAUAAAUACUUGGACAC